rnacentral:lncRNA from 1 species
GUUUCUACCAGGUCCCUCACCUCAGCCUGGCCCAGUAUGUAGAAGGAAAUCUCUGUAGAGGCCAGAGGGGCGCCCCCUUCCCAGAGAGACCAGACCUAGAAGAGAGGAAUCUUCUUCAUCUCCAAGCCUCCCAUCCCAGGACCCUUGGAGACCCAUUGGACAGGCCAGGCAGGGUGGGCACGGAGCCUCCCAGGCCAGGGCAGUGGGCAUGGGCGGGGGCUGCAGCUGAAGAUCACCCCCGCCCACGGCAGAGUACAAGGGAUUCCCACGCUGCAGCUACCAUGGCCACCAAUAAGGAGCGACUCUUUGCGCCCAACGCCCUGGGGCCUGGAUCUGGUUACCCAGGAGCAGGCUUCCCGUUCGCCUUCCCAGGUGCACUCAGAGGGUCACCGCCAUUUGAG